rnacentral:rRNA from 1 species
GAUGAACGCUGGCGGCGUGCCUAAUACAUGCAAGUCGAGCGAACGGACGAGAAGCUUGCUUCUCUGAUGUUAGCGGCGGACGGGUGAGUAACACGUGGAUAACCUACCUAUAAGACUGGGAUAACUUCGGGAAACCGGAGCUAAUACCGGAUAAUAUUUUGAACCGCAUGGUUCAAAAGUGAAAGACGGUCUUGCUGUCACUUAUAGAUGGAUCCGCGCUGCAUUAGCUAGUUGGUAAGGUAACGGCUUACCAAGGCAACGAUGCAUAGCCGACCUGAGAGGGUGAUCGGCCACACUGGAACUGAGACACGGUCCAGACUCCUACGGGAGGCAGCAGUAGGGAAUCUUCCGCAAUGGGCGAAAGCCUGACGGAGCAACGCCGCGUGAGUGAUGAAGGUCUUCGGAUCGUAAAACUCUGUUAUUAGGGAAGAACAUAUGUGUAAGUAACUGUGCACAUCUUGACGGUACCUAAUCAGAAAGCCACGGCUAACUACGUGCCAGCAGCCGCGGUAAUACGUAGGUGGCAAGCGUUAUCCGGAAUUAUUGGGCGUAAAGCGCGCGUAGGCGGUUUUUUAAGUCUGAUGUGAAAGCCCACGGCUCAACCGUGGAGGGUCAUUGGAAACUGGAAAACUUGAGUGCAGAAGAGGAAAGUGGAAUUCCAUGUGUAGCGGUGAAAUGCGCAGAGAUAUGGAGGAACACCAGUGGCGAAGGCGACUUUCUGGUCUGUAACUGACGCUGAUGUGCGAAAGCGUGGGGAUCAAACAGGAUUAGAUACCCUGGUAGUCCACGCCGUAAACGAUGAGUGCUAAGUGUUAGGGGGUUUCCGCCCCUUAGUGCUGCAGCUAACGCAUUAAGCACUCCGCCUGGGGAGUACGACCGCAAGGUUGAAACUCAAAGGAAUUGACGGGGGCCCGCACAAGCGGUGGAGCAUGUGGUUUAAUUCGAAGCAACGCGAAGAACCUUACCAAAUCUUGACAUCCUUUGACAACUCUAGAGAUAGAGCCUUCCCCUUCGGGGGGGCAAAGUGACAGGUGGUGCAUGGUUGUCGUCAGCUCGUGUCGUGAGAUGUUGGGUUAAGUCCCGCAACGAGCGCAACCCUUAAGCUUAGUUGCCAUCAUUAAGUUGGGCACUCUAAGUUGACUGCCGGUGACAAACCGGAGGAAGGUGGGGAUGACGUCAAAUCAUCAUGCCCCUUAUGAUUUGGGCUACACACGUGCUACAAUGGACAAUACAAAGGGCAGCGAAACCGCGAGGUCAAGCAAAUCCCAUAAAGUUGUUCUCAGUUCGGAUUGUAGUCUGCAACUCGACUACAUGAAGCUGGAAUCGCUAGUAAUCGUAGAUCAGCAUGCUACGGUGAAUACGUUCCCGGGUCU